rnacentral:rRNA from 1 species
GACGAACGCUGGCGGCGUGCUUAACACAUGCAAGUCGAACGGUGAUCUUGAGAGCUUGCUCUUGGGUGAUCAGUGGCGAACGGGUGAGUAACACGUGAGUAACCUGCCCCUGACUCUGGAAUAACUUCGGGGAACCGAAGCUAAUACCGGAUAUGACACAGAGCCGCAUGGUUUCUGUGUGGAAAGUUUUUCGGUUGGGGAUGGACUCGCGGCCUAUCAGCUUGUUGGUGAGGUAAUGGCUCACCAAGGCGACGACGGGUAGCCGGCCUGAGAGGGCGACCGGCCACACUGGGACUGAGACACGGCCCAGACUCCUACGGGAGGCAGCAGUGGGGAAUAUUGCACAAUGGGCGAAAGCCUGAUGCAGCGACGCCGCGUGAGGGAUGAAGGCCUUCGGGUUGUAAACCUCUUUCAGUAGGGAAGAAGCGCAAGUGACGGUACCUACAGAAGAAGCACCGGCUAACUACGUGCCAGCCGCCGCGGUAAUAC